rnacentral:rRNA from 1 species
UACGUAGGGGGGCAAGCGUUGUCCGGAUUUAUUGGGCGUAAAGAGCGUGUAGGCGGCCAGGUAGGUCUGGUGUGAAAACUCGAGGCUCAACCUCGAGAUGUCAUCGGAAACCAUCUGGCUAGAGUCCGGAAGAGGAGAGUGGAAUUCCUGGUGUAGCGGUGAAAUGCGCAGAUAUCAGGAAGAACACCUAUGGCGAAGGCAGCUCUCUGGGACGGUACUGACGCUGAGACGCGAAAAGCGUGGGGAGCGAACAGG